UGGACAUGGGCGAAAGCUGAUCCAGCCAUGCCGCGUGUGUGAAGAAGGCCCUCGGGUUGUAAAGCACUUUCAGCGAGGAAGAACGCCUAGUGGUUAAUACCCAUUAGGAAAGACAUCACUCGCAGAAGAAGCACCGGCUAACUCCGUGCCAGCAGCCGCGGUAAUACGGAGGGUGCAAGCGUUAAUCGGAAUUACUGGGCGUAAAGCGCGCGUAGGUGGCUUGAUAAGCCGGUUGUGAAAGCCCCGGGCUCAACCUGGGAACGGCAUCCGGAACUGUCAAGCUAGAGUGCAGGAGAGGAAGGUAGAAUUCCCGGUGUAGCGGUGAAAUGCGUAGAGAUCGGGAGGAAUACCAGUGGCGAAGGCGGCCUUCUGGACUGACACUGACACUGAGGUGCGAAAGCGUGGGUAGCAAACAGGAUUAGAUACCCUGGUAGUCCACGCCGUAAACGCAUGUCGACCAGUCCGUUU
rnacentral:rRNA from 1 species